rnacentral:rRNA from 1 species
AUGGCCUCCGAGCAGCCACCAAGUCCGCCGGCGGCGGAACCCGCUGCUACGACCUUAAUCGGCCUCGGCGGCGACCUCCUCCGCGAGAUAUUCCUCCUGCUCCCGUCCCUGCCGAGCCUCGUGCGCGCGGCCUUCGCCUGCCGCACCUUCCUCGACGCCGUGCGCUCGUCCCCCGCCUUCCGGCGCCGCUUCCGCGAGCUGCACGCGCAGCCGCUCCUGGGCAUCUUCUUCGACCCCGACGGCCCGGCCAUCCCCGCCUUCGCGGCCCUCCGCCGCCGGGACGACCCGGACCGGCGGGCCGCCGUCCGGCGCGGGGACUUCUUCCUCACCGGCCUCCCCGACGACGACGACGACGCGCGCCCCGGCUGGGUCAUCAGCGACUGCCACGACGGGUACCUGGUCCUGGAGCACAUCUACACGCGGGAGGCCCUCGCGUACAACCCGCUCACGCUGGCCCUGGAUCUCCUCCCGCCGCUGCCGGACGAGUUCUACGAGGGCUUCCAGGGCCACUACAACGGCCUCGACUACCACGUCCACGCCCCCGAGGAGUGCCGCGACCACGGGGCGUUCCGCGUGAUCUACGCCUGCCACGACGACUCGCGGGCGCGCGCGGCGGUCUUCUCCUCGGACUCGGACGCCAGGGCGUGGCGGGUCCUCCCCUAUUCCGAAGCCCUGAGGACCAUCCCGGAGUCCGGCGAGCGCGAGCACUGGCUCACCGCCGGCAGGAUCGUGGAUGGGUUCGUCUACUGGGUGUACUCGGACGAGGCCGCCAUGCUCGUGCUCGACACCACCACGCUGCACUUCUCUCGGGUAGAUCUCCCGGACUACUUGAAAGGAGACCAGCAUGUUCAGGGUUGGCAAGACCAGGGAUGGGGUGCUCUGCGUCGUCGUCGCGAUCCAAUUCAACCUUUAUGUCUGGCUCCGGAACAUUCGCGAUGA